rnacentral:rRNA from 1 species
GACGAACGCUGGCGGCGUGCCUAAUACAUGCAAGUUGAGCGCUGAAGGUUGGUACUUGUACCAACUGGAUGAGCAGCGAACGGGUGAGUAACGCGUGGGGAAUCUGCCUUUGAGCGGGGGACAACAUUUGGAAACGAAUGCUAAUACCGCAUAAAAACUUUAAACACAAGUUUUAAGUUUGAAAGAUGCAAUUGCCUCACUCAAAGAUGAUCCCGCGUUGUAUUAGCUAGUUGGUGAGGUAAAGGCUCACCAAGGCGAGGAUACAUAGCCGACCUGAGAGGUUGAUCGGCCACAUGGGAAUGGAGACACGGCCCAAACUCUUACGGGAGGCAGCAGUGGGGAAUUUUGGACAAGGGAGGAAAGCCGGACCCAGCAAGACCGCGGGGUGGAAGAAGGUGUUCGGUCGGUAAACCCCGUUUGUUGGGAAAGAAGAUGGUGAGGGUGGAAAGCCGCUCAAGUGACGGUAACCAAACAAUAAGGGCCGGCUAACUUCGUG